UUUAUAUGAGAGUUUGAUCCUGGCUCAGGAUGAACGCCGGCGGUGUGCCUAAUACAUGCAAGUCGUACGCACUGGCCCAACUGAUUGAUGGUGCUUGCACCUGAUUGACGAUGGAUCACCAGUGAGUGGCGGACGGGUGAGUAACACGUAGGUAACCUGCCCCGGAGCGGGGGAUAACAUUUGGAAACAGAUGCUAAUACCGCAUAACAACAAAAGCCGCAUGGCUUUUGUUUGAAAGAUGGCUUUGGCUAUCACUCUGGGAUGGACCUGCGGUGCAUUAGCUAGUUGGUAAGGUAACGGCUUACCAAGGCGAUGAUGCAUAGCCGAGUUGAGAGACUGAUCGGCCACAAUGGAACUGAGACACGGUCCAUACUCCUACGGGAGGCAGCAGUAGGGAAUCUUCCACAAUGGGCGCAAGCCUGAUG
rnacentral:rRNA from 2 species